UACAGAGGGGGCAAGCGUUGUUCGGAAUUACUGGGCGUAAAGGGCGCGUAGGCGGCCUGCUAAGUCGAACGUGAAAUCCCCGGGCUCAACCCGGGAACUGCGUCCGAUACUGGUAGGCUUGAAUCCGGGAGAGGGAUGCGGAAUUCCAGGUGUAGCGGUGAAAUGACGUAGAUAUCUGGAGGAACACCGGUGGCGAAGGCGGCAUCCUGGACCGGUAGUUGACGCUGAGGCGCGAAAGCCAGGGGAGCAAACGGGG
rnacentral:rRNA from 1 species